GACGAACGCUGGCGGCGUGCCUAAUACAUGCAAGUCGAACGCUUCUUUCCUCCCGAGUGCUUGCACUCAAUUGGAAAGAGGAGUGGCGGACGGGUGAGUAACACGCGGGUAACCUACCCAUCAGAGGGGGAUAACACUUGGAAACAGGUGCUAAUACCGCAUAACAGUUUAUGCCGCAUGGCAUAAGAGUGAAAGGCGCUUUCGGGUGUCGCUGAUGGAUGGACCCGCGGUGCAUUAGCUAGUUGGUGAGGUAACGGCUCACCAAGGCCACGAUGCAUAGCCGACCUGAGAGGGUGAUCGGCCACACUGGGACUGAGACACGGCCCAGACCCCUACGGGAGGCAGCAGUAGGGAAUCUUCGGCAAUGGACGAAAGUCUGACCGAGCAACGCCGCGUGAGUGAAGAAGGUUUUCGGAUCGUAAAACUCUGUUGUUAGAGAAGAACAAGGACGUUAGUAACUGAACGUCCCCUGACGGUAUCUAACCAGAAAGCCACGGCUAACUACGUG
rnacentral:rRNA from 1 species